rnacentral:rRNA from 1 species
UACGUAGGGGGCAAGCGUUGUCCGGAAUCAUUGGGCGUAAAGCGUGCGCAGGCGGUGAUGUAAGACAGAUGUGAAAUCCCCGGGCUCAACCUGGGAACUGCAUUUGUGACUGCAUCGCUGGAGUGCGGCAGAGGGGGAUGGAAUUCCGCGUGUAGCAGUGAAAUGCGUAGAUAUGCGGAGGAACACCGAUGGCGAAGGCAAUCCCCUGGGCCUGCACUGACGCUCAUGCACGAAAGCGUGGGGAGCAAACAGG